AAACGCAGCGUGUCCCGCUAAGUAUUCGCGUCCCGCGAUGUGUUCAAAAACAACAACAACAACAACAAAAAAAUAUAUAUAAAGUUGAAAAAGUAUUAAAACAAUAAACACAUCUGGCCCCUACUAAACUUUAGUCGUUCUUAAAAGAAAACAUUUAUUGACUCAACAUAUCACUAUAUUAGAUUACAUUACUAUGUGUAGGAGAUGCACAUAGACAAGAGUAUAUUUAAUAUUUAACACGAUUAGAAUGUUUGUAGAAUUUUUCAUUACUUUUUAACGAAGUGUCACGACGACUUUUUACAAAAAAAAAUGAAAAUUUUGACUUUGAUAAUGACGAUUGUCCUCAACCGUCUUUUUCAGACAGUAUUACAACAUUAACGCCGAAUGCUUACCUCAAUUAUGAAAUUCAAAUUUCUGUGUCUUAUAAAAACAUAUUUCCCAAGCGUAAGUUUAAUGGUUUUUCGGUUUUAUUAUAACUACCCAGUAAGGACAAAUAAUAAUUAAUAAUGACAUUGUAUCUUGUUCAUGUAGGGAAUUCAUAAUACGGUUACUGAUAUCCCACGAUAUUUUAAGAAAAUAAAUUAAUUAACCAGAACGAUUUCAUUCUAAACCUUGUCGAGAUAAGCCAUGUUGAGCGAGAGGAAAGAGUUUCUGACGAUGAGAAAAAGUAACAUGACUGGCUAAAAAGUGUGUAGUAGCCGAUGAAUGACAAAAGAAACUUCAGAAGCAAGAAAAGAAAUUAUGUCACACUGAAGGAUGUUUGGUUUACCAGCAUUUUAUGGAAAGGCGGAAAAAGCAAUUGUGAGAGCC